AUACUACUCCCUCUGUCCUUAAAUUUUUAUUUUAAAUUUAUCUAGAUACGAAUAUAUCUAAUACUAAAAUGCGACUUGAUACAUCCGAAUUUAGACAAAUCUAAGAUAAGAAUUUUCGGACGGAGAAAGAAGUAU
rfam:Triticum urartu cultivar G1812 contig875151, whole genome shotgun sequence.